AUUGAACGCUGGCGGCAGGCCUAACACCUGCAAGUCGAGCGGAUGAAGGGAGCUUGCUCCUGGAUUCAGCGGCGGACGGGUGAGUAAUGCCUAGGAAUCUGCCUGGUAGUGGGGGAUAACGUCCGGAAACGGGCGCUAAUACCGCAUACGUCCUGAGGGAGAAAGUGGGGGAUCUUCGGACCUCACGCUAUCAGAUGAGCCUAGGUCGGAUUAGCUAGUUGGUGGGGUAAAGGCCUACCAAGGCGACGAUCCGUAACUGGUCUGAGAGGAUGAUCAGGCACACUGGAACUGAGACACGGUCCAGACUCCUACGGGAGGCAGCAGUGGGGAAUAUUGGACAAUGGGCGAAAGCCUGAUCCAGCCAUGCCGCGUGUGUGAAGAAGGUCUUCGGAUUGUAAAGCACUUUAAGUUGGGAGGAAGGGCAGUAAGUUAAUACCUUGCUGUUUUGACGUUACCAACAGAAUAAGCACCGGCUAACUUCGUG
rnacentral:rRNA from 1 species